UUUCCCUACGGGGGGCAGCAGUGAGGAAUAUUGGUCAAUGGGCGAGAGCCUGAACCAGCCAAGUCGCGUGAGGGAGUACUGCCCUAUGGGUCGUAAACCUCUUUUGUCGGGGAGCAAAAGCCGGACGUGUCCGUCUGUGAGAGUACCCGAAGAAAAAGCAUCGGCUAACUACGUGCCAGCAGCCGCGGUAAUACGUAGGUGGCAAGCGUUGUCCGGGUUUAUUGGGCGUAAAGCGAGUGCAGGCGGUUCCAUAAGUCUGAUGUGAAAG
rnacentral:rRNA from 1 species